GCGCCCAUAGCUCAGCUGGUAGAGCAGUCCCCUUUUAAGGGAAAGGUCGUUGGAUCGUCCCCAACUGGGCGCA
rnacentral:tRNA from 3 species